rnacentral:rRNA from 1 species
GGUUAAGCGACUAAGCGUACACGGUGGAUGCCCUGGCAGUCAGAGGCGAUGAAGGGCGUGCUAAUCUGCGAUAAGCGCCGGUAAGGUGAUAUGAACCGUUAUAACCGGCGAUACCCGAAUGGGGAAACCCAGUGUGAUUCGUCACACUAUCAUUAACUGAAUCCAUAGGUUAAUGAGGCGAACCGGGGGAACUGAAACAUCUAAGUACCCCGAGGAAAAGAAAUCAACCGAGAUUCCCCCAGUAGCGGCGAGCGAACGGGGAGGAGCCCAGAGCCUGAAUCAGCAUGUGUGUUAGUGGAAGCGUCUGGAAAGGCGCGCGAUACAGGGUGACAGCCCCGUACACAAAAGCGUAUGUGCUGUGAGCUCGAUGAGUAGGGCGGGACACGUGGUAUCCUGUCUGAAUAUGGGGGGACCAUCCUCCAAGGCUAAAUACUCCUGACUGACCGAUAGUGAACCAGUACCGUGAGGGAAAGGCGAAAAGAACCCCGGCGAGGGGAGUGAAAAAGAACCUGAAACCGUGUACGUACAAGCAGUGGGAGCACCCUUUGGGGUGUGACUGCGUACCUUUUGUAUAAUGGGUCAGCGACUUAUAUUCUGUAGCAAGGUUAACCGAAUAGGGGAGCCGGAGGGAAACCGAGUCUUAAUUGGGCGUUAAGUUGCAGGGUAUAGACCCGAAACCCGGUGAUCUAGCCAUGGGCAGGUUGAAGGUUGGGUAACACUAACUGGAGGACCGAACCGACUAAUGUUGAAAAAUUAGCGGAUGACCUGUGGCUGGGGGUGAAAGGCCAAUCAAACCGGGAGAUAGCUGGUUCU